rnacentral:rRNA from 2 species
GUUCCGACCCGCACGAAAGGCGUAACGAUCUGGGCACUGUCUCAACGAGAGACUCGGUGAAAUUAUAGUACCUGUGAAGAUGCAGGUUACCCGCGACAGGACGGAAAGACCCCGUGGAGCUUUACUGUAGCCUGAUAUUGAAUUUUGGUACAGCUUGUACAGGAUAGGUAGGAGCCUGAGAAGCCGGAGCGCUAGCUUCGGUGGAGGCGUCGGUGGGAUACUACCCUGGUUGUAUUGAAAUUCUAACCCACAGCCCUGAUCGGGCUGGGAGACAGUGUCAGGUGGGCAGUUUGACUGGGGCGGUCGCCUCCUAAAGAGUAACGGAGGCGCCCAAAGGUUCCCUCAGAAUGGUUGGAAAUCAUUCGUAGAGUGUAAAGGCACAAGGGAGCUUGACUGCGAGACCUACAAGUCGAGCAGGGACGAAAGUCGGGCUUAGUGAUCCGGUGGUUCCGCAUGGAAGGGCCAUCGCUCAACGGAUAAAAGCUACCCCGGGGAUAA